AGAGCUCUGGGUGUCUCACCAUGGCCUGGACCCCUCUCCUGCUCCCCCUCCUCACUUUCUGCACAGUCUCUGAGGCCUCCUAUGAGCUGACACAGUCACCCUCAGUGUCAGUGUCCCCAGGACAAACAGCCAGGAUCACCUGCUCUGGAGAUGCAUUGCCAAAAAAAUAUGCUUAUUGGUACCAGCAGAAGCCAGGCCAGGCCCCUGUGCUGGUCAUCUACGAGGACAGCAAACAACCCUCUGGGAUCCCUGAGAGAUUCUCUGGCUCCAGCUCAGGGACAAUGGCCACCUUGACUAUCAGUGGGGCCCAGGUGGAGGAUGAAGCUGACUACUACUGUUACUCAACAGACAGCAGUGGUAAUCAUAGCACAGUGACACUGGCAGAUGGGAAAUAUUCCUUGGAAGCCGAGGCUUAUGAAACAUUUUGCAAAAAGUUCCACAAGAAAACUCAAGAACUCAAGUUCCUGGUGCACAGUUGGACCACGUUCAUUGUGUGCAGUAGAACCUCGUUCCAGUGUUGA